rnacentral:rRNA from 1 species
CGAUUAGAGUUUGAUCCUGGCUCAGAACGAACGCUGGCGGCAUGCCUAACACAUGCAAGUCGAACGCACCUUUCGGGGUGAGUGGCGCACGGGUGAGUAACACGUGGGAACCUGCCUUCUGGUUCGGGACAACGUCUGGAAACGGACGCUAAUACCGGAUGUGUCCUGAGGGACAAAGAUUUAUCGCCAGGAGAGGGGCCCGCGUCCGAUUAGGUAGUUGGUGGGGUAACGGCCUACCAAGCCGACGAUCGGUAGCUGGUCUGAGAGGAUGAUCAGCCACACUGGGACUGAGACACGGCCCAGACUCCUACGGGAGGCAGCAGUGGGGAAUAUUGGACAAUGGGCGCAAGCCUGAUCCAGCAAUGCCGCGUGAGUGAUGAAGGCCUUCGGGUUGUAAAGCUCUUUCGCACGCGACGAUGAUGACGGUAGCGUGAGAAGAANCCCCGGCUAACUUCNUGCCANCANCCGCGGUAAUACNAAGGGGGCUAGCGUUGUUCNGAAUUACUGGNCGUAAAGGGCGCNUANGCNGCCUGUUUANUCANGANUGAAAUCCCCNGNCUCANCCUG